rnacentral:lncRNA from 1 species
AUUUCAUUAAAGUCUCUUUAAAGUAUACUCAAUUUCAGCCAUGCAGUCUGUUCCAAUUUAUCUCCAGAGAGUAGAGGGCCUGCCGUAUCUAUGUUAUAGGAUACCCAACUUGUCAUAUGGAUCUAAUAUGAAGCAUAUUUACGUAAAGAUGUAUAAAAGUGAACUAAAGAUGCAUAUUACAGAGAAGGAAUGGGAAAUUAUUGGGUUUUCAGGCUAAGUCAACCCUGUCUUUGCCAUGAUUUCAGUAGUGUUUUUGACCCCCCCCCCCCCAAGGGUGGUGUCCAUAUCGUCACAAAUCUUGCAUAUCUAACCAGUUGAGGGCAAAAUUAUAUUUUGGUUAAAUUUCUCGAUUUAGUACAAAUUCAGCACAAAUAAUUGCUGGGAAAUUCCGUCACCACGUUUGGGUUUACGUGAAAUUGUGGCGAAAAUAAUCUUUUCCCUUUGCUUAAAAGGCGAGUAU